AGGAAAGCAGGGGAUCGCAAGACCUUGCGCUUUUGGAGCGGCCGAUGUCUGAUUAGCUAGUUGGUGAGGUAAAGGCUUACCAAGGCGUCGAUCAGUAGCUGGUCUGAGAGGACGACCAGCCACACUGGGACUGAGACACGGCCCAGACUCCUACGGGAGGCAGCAGUGGGGAAUUUUGGACAAUGGGGGAAACCCUGAUCCAGCCAUGCCGCGUGAGUGAAGAAGGCCUUCGGGUUGUAAAGCUCUUUCAGCCGGAACGAAACGGUCACAGCUAAUACCUGUGACUACUGACGGUACCGGAAGAAGAAGCACCGGCUAACUACGUGCCAGCAGCCGCGGUAAUACGUAGGGUGCGAGCGUUAAUCGGAAUUACUGGGCGCAAAGCGUGCGCAGGCGGUUUUGUAAGUCAGAUGUGAAAUCCCCGGGCUUAGCCUGGGAACUGCGUUUGAAACUACAAAGCU
rnacentral:rRNA from 1 species